GGAGAUUUCAGGUAACAUACCAUAAACUAUUUAACAGUCUGUGAAAAUAAUUUGGUGAAAUAACAUAAAAAAGAAGGAAUAGUAGAAUUGUAGACUACCCACAAAAGAAAUGGAACAAAAACACUCUAUAUAACAAGGUAUACACCAACAGUGGGUAUAUAGUGAAAAGGUGAUCAAUGUAAUUUUACCCAUAUAUAGGACAAUAGAUUGUAAAAAGACUCUUCUUGUCUUCCAAACAAAUGUGUAAAAAAUACAAUCUUAAAAAG